rnacentral:rRNA from 1 species
UACGAAGGGGGCAAGCGUUGUUCGGAAUUACUGGGCGUAAAGCGUGCGCAGGCGGUUUUGUAAGCCAGAUGUGAAAUCCCCGGGCUUAACCUGGGAAUGGCAUUUGGGACUGCAAGGCUUGAGUGCGGCAGAGGAGACUAGAAUUCCUGGUGUAGCAGUGAAAUGCGUAGAUAUCAGGAGGAAUACCGAUGGCGAAGGCAGGUCUCUGGGCUGACACUGACGCUCAUGCACGAAAGCGUGGGGAGCAAACAGG